GCCCGCGUAGCUCAGUGGUAGAGCGCCUCCUUGGUAAGGAGGAGGUCAUGAGUUCAAAUCUCAUCGCGGGCUCCA
rnacentral:tRNA from 1 species